UCCUCAUUUUUGAGUUUUUAAGUGGGUUAGAGGAUGGUUUUCCCCUUCCUGGGGGGGAUGCAGAGCUCUUGGCGACCGCCUGGAUUUUUGGGGAUGAGGCGCCGCGGAAAGUUUGUCGCCUCUUUUGGAACCUCGGGCAUCUUCCAGCGCCGUCCUUCCCGGGCAGGAUUAUUGACUCCACGCUGUGGGAAUUCACCUCCUGAACACCUGCACCAGGACUGUCUGAAGUGCUCGGUGAGGUUCAGAUCCUUGUUUUUCCAGAGCCUUUGCAGAUUCCAAACCCGUGUCCUCGCUCUGUGCUGCUCCUCGGGCACAGCCUCCCGGUCCAGCCCAGCUGCUCCGUCAUUCCACUGGCUGGGGAAUCCAUAAAUCGCAUUCCUGAUCUCCUGGAAUCAUCGAGGCUGGAAAAGACUUCCAGGAUCCUCCAUUCCCGCCUGUGGCAGUGCUGGUCCUGGUGGUGUUCUCUCUCCUGGCUGCUCCUUGCCUGCUCCGAGUUUGGUUCUUUCCGCAGGGAUUUAUCCAGCCUGGAGCUUUUUCUGCCCGGUGGACAGAUGUGAUUUUAUAUCUGGGUAAAUACUGGGAAAUCAACUUCAUUCCAGGCCCAUAUGUGAAACAAAAAUGCUGCAGCGCUUUUAGGCUGGUCCCUAUGAAUGAAAGGAUCUACGAAUUAAUAAUCGUUGGAGUUGGAGCGUUGGGAAUUGGGAAUUAACUUGAUUUUGGGGGGGGGGGGGGGGUUUGAAAAUAAUUAAUCUGGUAAAACUUAGACUUUUGAUGAGCUCUCUAACGCCGCUUUGCCGGUGCCUCUCCUCCCCGCUUCGGGAGAGCGGAGUGAUUUUUGUGCGAUUUGGGAACGUUUUCCAGCGGGAAGGAUGGGGCCUGUCCCGAGGUGGAGGAAUGCGUGUUAAAUAAACAGCCAGCCUGGGCCCUG